AUUUAAGUAGCUUAAAAUAAAGAGCUCAGUAUUGAAGAUACUAAGGUGAUUAUUAAAUCCUUAAAUA
rnacentral:tRNA from 1 species